rnacentral:rRNA from 1 species
GACGAACCGUGCGAACGUUAUUCGGAAUCACUGGGCUUAAAGCGCGUGUAGGCGGGAGGGCACGUCCGUUGCUGAAAUCCCCCGGCUCAACCGGGGAACGGGCGCGGAUACGACUCUCCUUGAGGGGCGUAGGGGGACCUGGAACUUCCGGUGGAGCGGUGAAAUGCGUAGAGAUCGGAAAGAACACCAACGGCGAAAGCACUCUGCUGGGCCGACACUGACACUGAGAGACGAAAGCUAGGGGAGCGAAUGGG